UCUUUUUUAAACAGGUAGAGGGUUGAAGGGAGGCAGGUUUUGUGUUCUGGGUUCCUCCAUUUUGUGUAUGGCGGUGUGGUUUGUGUGCAGGUUCUGAAUGGGUUCCAGUUGACUUUCAGGAUUUUAUUUACAAGAAAAUUAUAUUAAAUAAGAACUAUACCUACCUUGGAGCAUCUCUUGGACAACUUGUUGCUGUUGGACUGCCACUGGAACUACAGAAUAAGCAUCAACAAACAAACAAACAGUCAGGUCUGUGAGGAUGAGAAGGUCUCCACAGUCUGGAGUCUGAUCUCUGACAGCCUCAACAUACCUGUCAAUCAACAGGGACUCCUCUACAAAGGCAAGGCGCUGGCAGGUAGGCUGAACAGCACAGCACAGCACAGCACAGCACAGCACAGCUCACCCCUCCUCUCACCCCUCACCUCACCCCUCCUCUCACUCCUCGCCUCACCCCGGGUCAGUGUGGCACAGCCUGCCUGCUCUUCUAAACAAACACUUCAGCCCUGCCGACGCAGUGAGAGUCUGGAGCAGCUACACAAGGUGAUGAAGUGACACUUUGAAUAUGGGGCCUGAUGAGAGAAGUAUCCUUUUCAUGUGGUUUUGGUUUUGCCGUUGUGAGCAGGUAUGGGAGACAGCACCGUGUCUGCAUGUGAAAUAACAAAGUCAUCGCAGUGGAGGGACUCUCUGAAGGCUGCUGUUUGUGGAUUUGUCUUGUAAUGUGAGUGAUCUACUGUACUGUGAUGCCACUGUCUGUACGCACGCUGCACUGCAGGGGAGACACCGCUGGCAUUCACAGGGCAUGCUUGUUCAUUUAAAGCACGCUGCACUGCAGGGGAGACACCAACCUUCUGGACAAAGCCAAAACAGAUAGAGGAGUGACCAAAGUGAUCCUAUCAUUCGGAAUCAACAACAAGGACCAGAAAGUCAAAGAGACAGCUAUCAAAAACCUACAAAGGUCAGCAAAGACAACCUUCCCAACUGCAGAAAUCAAAGUGCCACUGGUGAACUUCUCACGAGCACUAGACAUGCAGGCCCAACGGAACUUGGAAGAACUAAACGGAUUCAUCUCAGCCAACCUACCACACAUACCGCUAUUACCAACUGAGAAAUUUCAAGCUGGCGGAGACAACAUCCACUGGACAACCAACACAGCCAAAGAUAUGCUCCAGCACUGGUGCCAGCAUUUAAACUAGGAGACCCCACAAGCCCAAAUAUCUCCAGGGAGGGGGCAUCCAACAUAGUCAAUCUAUGUAAAUACUUCACACCAACAGAGAGUCAAAACAGCCUUUUGAGCAAAGGCCUCUCCUUCAUACCCACACCGCAAACUAAAGCAACACAGAAGCAGACACUGCGAGCAGAAACACAAGACUACCAUAGGAGGCUAAAAAUCGCAACCUUCUUUGAAGAGGAAGGAGACUCAAAUCACAUACCCUUCCUACCCAAAUCCAACUGGGAACCAAAUAACAACCAAGUUCCACAGGAAAUCACAGAGAUUAUUCUUGAAGAUCUAAAAACAAUACACAGCCUUAACCCAGGUAACUACAAAACAGAAGACAACCUAACAGCACCAGAAAGGAUUGCACUUAAGGAAUUACAAAAACAUACCGACAUCAUUUUCAAACCAGCAGACAAGGGAAGUUCAAUAGUAAUAAUGGAUAGAGAAGACUACAUCUUUGAAGCCAACAGACAACUAAAUAAUCAAGAACACUACAGGAAAUUAGACGCACCAAUUUAUCUUGAUUCUGCUCAGGAAAUUAACAGAAUAAUACAAACACUAACAGACC